UACGGGAGGCAGCAGCCUACGGGAGGCAGCAGUGGGGAAUCUUAGACAAUGGGCGCAAGCCUGAUCUAGCCAUGCCGCGUGAGUGAUGAAGGCCUUAGGGUCGUAAAGCUCUUUCGCCAGAGAUGAUAAUGACAGUAUCUGGUAAAGAAACCCCGGCUAACUCCGUGCCAGCAGCCGCGGUAAUACGGAGGGGGUUAGCGUUGUUCGGAAUUACUGGGCGUAAAGCGCACGUAGGCGGAUCAGAAAGUUGGGGGUGAAAUCCCAGGGCUCAACCCUGGAACGGCCUCCAAAACUCCUGGUCUUGAGUUCGAGAGAGGUGAGUGGAAUUCCGAGUGUAGAGGUGAAAUUCGUAGAUAUUCGGAGGAACACCAGUGGCGAAGGCGGCUCACUGGCUCGAUACUGACGCUGAGGUGCGAAAGUGUGGGGAGCAAACAGGAUUAGAUACCCUG
rnacentral:rRNA from 1 species